GAUGAACGCUGGCGGCGUGCCUAAUACAUGCAAGUCGAGCGAACGGACGAGAAGCUUGCUUCUCUGAUGUUAGCGGCGGACGGGUGAGUAACACGUGGAUAACCUACCUAUAAGACUGGGAUAACUUCGGGAAACCGGAGCUAAUACCGGAUAAUAUUUUGAACCGCAUGGUUCAAAAGUGAAAGACGGUCUUGCUGUCACUUAUAGAUGGAUCCGCGCUGCAUUAGCUAGUUGGUAAGGUAACGGCUUACCAAGGCAACGAUGCAUAGCCGACCUGAGAGAGUGAUCGGCCACACUGGAACUGAGACACGGUCCAGACUCCUACGGGAGGCAGCAGUAGGGAAUCUUCCGCAAUAGGCGAAAGCCUGACGGAGCAACGCCGCGUGAGUGAUGAAGGUCUUCGGAUCGUAAAACUCUGUUAUUAGGGAAGAACAUAUGUGUAAGUAACUGUGCACAUCUUGACGGUACCUAAUCAGAAAGCCACGGCUAACUACGUG
rnacentral:rRNA from 1 species